rnacentral:rRNA from 1 species
CCUACGGGAGGCAGCAGUGAGGAAUAUUGGACAAUGGGCGUAAGCCUGAACCAGCCACGUCGCGUGAGGGAUGAAGGUUCUAUGGAUCGUAAACCCCUUUUAUAAGGGAAUAAAGUGUGGGACGUGUCCCGUUUUGUACGUACCUUAUGAAUACGGAUAGGCUAACUCCGUGCCAGCAGCCGCGGUAAUACGGUGGAUCCGAGCGUUGUCCGGAUUUAUUGGGUUUAAAGGGUGCGUAGGCGGCCUUUUAAGUCAGCGGUGAAAGUCUGUGGCUCAACACUAGAAUUGCCGUUGAAACUGGGAGUCUUGAGUAUGUUUGAGGCAGGCGGAAUGCGUGGUGUAGCGGUGAAAUGCUUAGAUAUCAGGCAGAACCCCGAUUGCGAAGGCAG